GAUGAACGCUAGCUACAGGCUUAACACAUGCAAGUUGAGGGGAAACGAUAGAGAAAGCUUGCUUUUUCUAGGCGUCGACCGGCGCACGGGUGAGUAACGCGUAUCCAACCUGCCCAUCACUUGGGGAUAACCUUGCGAAAGUAAGACUAAUACCCAAUGAUGUCUCUAGAAGACAUCUGAAAGGGAUUAAAGAUUUAUCGGGGAUGGAUGGGGAUGCGGCUGGUUAGCUUGUUGGCGGGGUAACGGCCCACCAAGGCGACGAUCAGUAUGGGGUCUGGGAGGAAGGUCGCCCACAUUGGAACUGGAACACAGUCCAAACUCCUACGGGAUGCAGCAGUGAGGAAUAUUGGUCAAUGGGCGAGAGCCUGAACCGGCCAAGUAGCGUGCAGGAUGACGGUCCUAUGGGUUGUAAACUGCUUUUAUAAGGGAAUAAAGUGAGUCUCGUGAGACUUUUUGCAUGUACCUUAUGAAUAAGGACCGGCUAAUUCCGUGCCAGCCGCCGCGGUAA
rnacentral:rRNA from 1 species